GAUGACAAUUUGUUUCACUCUACCCUACAGCAGUGGUGGCUGUGAAGAGAGGAGAAUUAAAUUUGAUCUUCUGACAGCAAUUAUUAAAUGCUCCCUCCUGGCCUCAAUUAAGGCCUGCAGGCUAGUGCUAACAUGGCUAACCCUCAUGCAACCACAAGAUGCCGGCGCACUUCCUUUUUCUUCACCAGCUUCUUUUUGUCACCCUUUUCAGCAUGCAUGUGUGUGGGCUGUGCGGGUGCAUCUGUGUGUGUCUGUCAACUUGGUGGGUAUGGAAAUGCAUGCUUGCUUAUGGGUCAUUAUCUGUCUGACUGUUUGUUGUAACUAAGUCAGCAUGUGGGUACGGGCAGAUAUGCGAGAAAGUUGUGGAAUUUGCUAUUUUUCCUUGUCUCUCUUCAUCAGCAAAUUUGGAUCAGUGAUGUGAAGUGAUUAUUUUUGAGAUUGUGACCGUAACAAGCAAAUAAUGAAGCUGCUGAACACUGAUGAUCUGCUCUACCUCUCUAGAAGUUAAGACUUGUGUUCUGUGUGUUGAGGGCCUCAACUUAUAUACUUAUAUACAUAAAAAUCAAUAAAACAGACACUUGUCAUAAUUAGCAUCACUCCGUAAAAUUAACCCUUAAAAAGCAAAAAAACAACAAACUGUAAACAGUUAACACUCUAAAGAACACUGUCUCUCCCUGUCGUUGUGACACUCCGCUAGCAUUAUGUGUCAUGGUCGCAGCCUUGCUGAGCUGAAGUGAGAGCCACAGCACUGCUUUGAGUCUAUGCACAGUGUGUGGGUAAUAUGCACAGAAGUAGAAGGUUGCACACUUCAACAAGGAUGUCCUUCAUAGAUUCGACCUUCUGUUUUUUUUUUUCUUCCUCCGGUCCCUGUGCUCUGCUAGGAAACCGAGUAACCUAGAUCACUGAGUAGGGAGAGAGAGGGACUGUGAGAAUAAAAGAGAGAGACAGAAGAAUGACAGAGAUAGAGAGAGAGACUGAGCAAAAGAAGCAGUAGGACAGAUUGAAGGGAGACAGAGUCAGACUUUAACACCUCUCCACCCCACCCAACACUUUAGGAUGAUGUCAGGUUCACUCUUUUUUUCUGGUUACCGCAAGCUGAUUGUGCUGAUUAUUGGUGGGCAUUGUUUCCCUGUUGACGCUGUGCAUCAUUAAACAGAGAUUGUUCCACUGUUAGUGUUUGUUUAAGCAAGGCUGGUAUAAUGUUUCCAGGCACUGUCUCUUCACCACAGACACACACACACACACACACACACACACACACACACACACACAUACACACAAAUGUAAACUUGAGACAGAAGUUGCAUGCAUUGCAUCUAUAAUUUAUGUUACUCCUGUGUUUUGUUUGAAGUCAAAUUUGGGGGCCUUCAAACAAAAAGAAAACAAAUAAAAUCAAAAAGCAAUGUGUAUUGAAAACUUCUAUAAUGAAAAAUGUACCUAACAUAUACAAGGGUCUUAAAAAUAUGAAUCUUUUUCAGCACAUAGCCUUAACUACUCUCACAGUGCUUUACAGUUCCCAGAGGAGAGAUGGUGGUGGGGUGCAUGAGGUGAAAGGCUGUAUGGAUUGCGGAGGGUGUGUUGCGGCAUACGGUACCUACAGAUCAGCCUCUGUUUAGGGGAGUGGCCCCACCAAGGCCAGAGCCAGGCCAGACCCAGCCCAAGCCUCUCAUUAGUCAUCGGCUGGGUGCCACACUCCUUUUUGGAGUGGUUAAGGGGGAACCGGCAAGGGUCUGGCAGUUCCACUGUACUCCACUCCCAGCCCCAUCACAACCCGACCUCAUCAAAGCAAGCGCUCGUAAUUUGUCACAGAAAGCAGCCAAUUAACAUAUGUUAAGGGAGGAGGGACGAUGAGAAGAAGGAGGAGAGGAGGGGAGGGCGAGUGAAAAAAGAUAGCGUAUGAUUAAAGAGUCUGCACAGCUGCACAAAAUCAAGAUGGCAAAGAAAGGUUUGAAAGAGACCUCAGACCCAGUAAUCUGAUAAAGCUUACUGUUACUUAACCCCCAAAAGCAAGAGAGAGAGGGAGAAGGAGAGAGGGGAGAAUGAAAUAAUAGAGACAAACAAAUAUUAAAUUACUGUGAAGCUACAAGCAUUGGCAGAGUGCCCCUGCUCUCAAUAUGUGGGUACACUGAAGGCCACUGUAUCACAUGGAGAUGACCCCUCUUGCCAAAGCACUACUGCUCUUUGACCAUGCUCUAUUUUUAGCUCAGCGCUCAUCAUUGUGGUUUACGUAGUUCACAGUGACGCUAAAAUCUGCCAGGAACUUAAAUUUUUUAUUUUUUUAUAUUUUUUUUACGUUUUUUAUUCCAAAAUUUUAAUGCCUGGUGCACCACAGCAAUUUAGCUCCCUUUCUCAUGAAACAAAAGGUGCUAUUUCAUUUUUCAUUUAUUUUUCUGUCGCAAAGUCUCAGACAAGUUGCUUACAUUCUGACUUGUUUGUUUGCUUUCAAAUUCUUGUUCCUCAUGGUUGGUUUUUAACAUGCUGUGUGUGGUUAUUUAUGCAUGUGUGCACGCCUGUGUGUGACUGUGUGUCUGCGCGUGUGUGUGCAUUUAUAUGUCGCUUAUUGUUGAUGUUGUUGUUGUAGGAACAUCUUGUGAAGUGAGUUGUGUGAUAUUUUGCCUUGUUGUUGGAUACGGUGGCAGGCUGAAUGCAUUAGCAGUGCACGUCGAUGCCAUUCUGUGUUCUGUCGUCUCAGCCACCUCUGCCUUGUCUCUCUACAGCGACUGAUCACACGGACUGACAAGCAAGUUUGGGUCCUCGUCUGCCGCACAAUCCUUCACUACGUGGGCUCCGAGUCUUUCAGUAAGCAAAAUAAGAGAGGCGGGGAGGAAGCUUUAAACAAAUUUGAGUGAUUUUGGAACUGUACGUCAAGUCGUGGGGAAAUCCCCCAAACAAAAAGGCAGCGAACUUGAAAAACAAUUUUGUAUUCCUAAUAUAGUUAUUUGAAAAAACCACCCACAUUAUUAUUGUUGUUGUUAUCAUUAUUAAGUGAAAGUUAUUUUGACUGAAAUCAGAGAUGAAAAUGGAAAGAAAAAACACAAAUGGCCAGCAGAAAAGCAUACCCUACACUAUAUAUAAAUCAUGACUGUUUCUUUUUUCCUCCUCUUCCUCUCUCUUGCACUCUUAUCCUUGCCAUCAAGCAUCAAUCGUUAUUUAUUUAUUUUUCCUAUUUGGGAAGUGAAGGGCUAGAGUGGAGGAGCGGAGGAGUGAAGGAGUGGGGGAUGGAGGGAUGGCGAGAGGGGGCGGCGGUGAGUUGUGUUUGGUUCACAAGGCUCGCUGCUUGCUUGAAUUUCUUGUCUGUGUUGCGAGUUGGUGGUUUAGUGAAGGACCUGGCUGCCUGGAGUUCCCCCUCCACUCAAAUCCCUCUGCUGCGCGCACAGCUGCACCGUUCACAUAACCUCGCCUGCCCCCUCCUAGCCGCCCCCCCCAGCUAAUGAUAGCAGAGCACGUCCCUCCACAAGGCAACAGCUUUUUCCACUUCAUGUACAUACACACACUCACACACACACACGCACACACACAAACUUGGCGCGCACACACACACACAUAAGUAUCAGACACACGCACAGACUAGUAGGCACAACAUAUUCCUUAUUUUCCUUCUCUUGGUUCCUUUCCUUCAUUUUUUCUCAUAUCAUUCAAUUUCUUCCCCUUCUCUUCACCCUGAGAAAAAUCCCCUGGCCUUAUGACCCAAGCAAGGCCUGAGAACGCUAUCCCCACCCCACCCACAGACACAGACAUACACACACACACAUUAAACCCACCCCUCCUACUCCAAACUCCCUGUUUUUCUCUCUCUGUACAGCUCUGCACAGCAAGUGACCUGCAUCACAGCUGUGUGUGGGAAUUUCUAAGGGUGAGUGUUAGUGGGAGGGUUAAGUGUGUGAAUGUAUGUAUUUGCACAUACCUGAGCACGUCAAUGUUCACACCGUAUGUGCUGCAUGUACAUUGCUGCGUAACUGCAUGUGUUAUACAUUUACUUAAUGUACAUAUUUCUGUUGCGUGUGUGUGUGUGUGUGUGUGUGUGUCUAUGUAAGCAGAGAAGGAGGGAGGUGAGGGCAGCUCUGGGCUUCUGCUGCGCCUACUGUGCAUUAUCCCAAAUAAACAACUCAUUACACGUGUACUUAACCAAGGGGAGCUGGCGAGCAGUGGAAGCUAAUCCCCGUUAUCGUUCCCAGCAUUUCUCUUCCGAUUAGGCUACAGGGAAGAAGAGCCCAAGAAGAGGCUGAUUUUCUCACACCCUCAAUUUGAGUCCCAUCCUGUUUGCUUGGCCCCCAAGGGGGCUGCUCUGCCGUGGCCCGGAGUGGGCCGGCGGUGGAUGGAUGUGACGUGGAGGUACUGGGACUCUGCUGGAGGGAGGCUGGAGCCACGACAGGUAUCCCCCGCACUUCCUCAGCUAUUUAUAAAACCAUGAGUCCAGCACAGGGCCAAAAAUAAGACGGAGGCCAUUUUUAUCUCAAAUUAUAAAGGCGGCUCACUCCUGUCCCCACACACUUUAAUGCUCUCACACAAACACACACAACAGAAGCAGAAAGAUAUAUAUCCACACAAUACAAAAAUUAACAACAGAUACUAACAAAGUAGAAAAACUCCUCACUAGACAAUGAAACCAUUUCUGUCCUCCUACUGAGCAUGCUCAAAUGUGUACAUCCACACACGCACACACAUCCACAGCAGACAAAAGUCAAUAUCAAGGCUGAGCUAUUUCUGUAGAGAGCACUAUUUAGGAAGUGUGGGCCGGGUGCCAGUAUUCUCCUCAGUAUCGUCUGGGCGUCAUUGCACUGCUGCUGUUAUACAAACUCACCUCUUUCCUCUCUCACCCGCUCCUCACCCUUUCCACCCCAACCCCUUGUUCCAUUGUCAGUGCGCUCUCUGUCCCUCUCUCUUUCUGUGUGUUUCUCUUAUAUACACACAAGGUUAUUUGUUUUUCCACUGGGUCGAACCACAGUGCCAGGUGAAAGCAUCUAUUGGCAGGAUAAAGAGAGUGGCUGGUGUUAGAUCACAAGGCCCCACUCUGCCCAGCAAACCUUGAAGUGAAGCGCAGGGCUGGAGUUUCAAACAAAGUGCCCCCUCAUUCAUUAUACAUGCAACUGAACUGAAAAUCUCCUUCUGCAACACCAUCUCUUCUCCUCUCUCUCUCUCUAUCUUCAUCCCUCUCUCCUCACAUCGUCCCUCUCCCUUUUCUCUCAUUUUUUUUUUUCCAGACAGAGCAUCCAUAAAGUAUGAAUAAAAUUAAUGACAUCACGAGCUGCACUUUGGAAGAGCCACUGUAGGAAAAAGCCAUACAUCACAGGGCAGAAGGAGCUGGGACAAAAAAAAGUAAAAAAAAAAAAAAAAAAAAAAAGAAAAAUUGACAGAGAGAGAGAGAAAGGUUGUAUAUGGGGGGGGGCUUCACCCUUCUCCACCCUUUCUUUAUGUAGCGGCAACAGCCCUCUUCAACAUUUCUUUGUCCUGCUUUCUCCUGGCUUUUUUUGGUCAGCUAAGUAAUGUAAGUGUUCAAAACAGUCCAGUGCUGUGCAUUCUUUUACAGGCUGGCCUUUGGUGUGGGAAUGGCACAGAUGACAGUGGAAAGGAACACUGGUGUGGACUUUGGCAGGACAACGCCUGGUUAAGCUGUGUGCUCUGCAGAAGAGGGAGAGCACUAAGUGUGGAUUCUUAUAUAGCUGUUUCUCGACUUAGACGGUGUUAACAGCAUUUUCAACAGUGUGCUCCCCUCGGAGUUGAGCAGCGAACCUCCUGAUGUUACAGACUUUGCCCAGAGACUCUGUGGUGAAAAAUAAGAAUCGUAUUUAAGAUUGUAAUAUUCUUCCUUAGAGCAGAAAAAAGAGUUUGAUUUAUCAGUAGUGCUGCCUAUUAUCGACAAUUUAGUGCGACACUGUUUCAUUACAAGAGCAACAUCACACAAAAGCCUGACUGCAUAAAAUCCAAGACCUUAUUCCCCUGAAUCCAGUGUGAACACAAGAUCUGCUAAAAAUACGCGAUAGCAAUGUGAAGCCCAGCAGCAGCGUGGAUGGGGAGCAGUGGCGGCAGCAGCGCAGAUUGUGGCAGCCGAGUGAGCAGGGGUUUCAGAUGGAUGUGAGCUUGUGUGAGGCCAAGGCACAGAGCUACCUCUGUG